UACGGGGGGGGGCAAGCGUUGUUCGGAAUUACUGGGCGUAAAGGGCUCGUAGGCGGCCAACUAAGUCGGAUGUGAAAUCCCCAGGCUUAACCUGGGAACUGCAUCCGAUACUGGAUGGCUUGAAUCCGGGAGAGGGAUGCAGAAUUCCAGGUGUAGCGGUGAAAUGCGUAGAUAUCUGGAGGAAUACCGGUGGCGAAGGCGGCAUCCUGGACCGGCAUUGACGCUGAUGAGCGAAAGCUAGGGGAGCGAACAGG
rnacentral:rRNA from 1 species